rnacentral:rRNA from 1 species
GUGCAAAUGUGGCAGCUCAGAGUGGGGAACAAAAUCCCUAGCCGAAGCACUUGAUCCCUUUGGGCCUGGCAACACCUCUCCUUCCCCCAUCUCCUUCUCCACCACCGACCGCCGCCACGGCGAGGCCGGUGUGGUGGUGCGCCUCCGCCACCCAUCCAUCUAUCCAUCACCGGUGCCCCACACCACCAGCGCCCAUCUCGCCUGCCGUACCCACGUGCCUCCACCUGCUGCUGAUUCUCCUUGCCACUCCCUUCGCCUACCUCGCUGUUGUUCUUCUUCCCGAUGUCCUCCCUGCUACCCUUCUGCUUCUCCCCGGCUUCCCCUCUCAUCACGUCCCUGCUGCUGCACUUCUUCUCUCCCAACGCUACUGCUGCUACUACGCUCUGCUGCUCCCUCUUGCUAACCUGUUGCUACUUCUUGCUUUACCCUACUGCUGCUCUACUUCUCUCAUCACAACUACUCCUCCUCCUCUCUAACCCCUGCUGCCUCUAUCUCUUCUCUGAACCUCCUUUGUUGCUGCCUCUUCUCUCCUCUGCUGUUGGCUUGAGAUUUUUGUAAGCGGAGAUGUGUUAAACUUUGUAAGGUUCAGAUUUUAAGUAGUGCUUGAAACUUGUUCAGUUUCAGACUUGUGCUUGAUUAAUAGUACUUAUUUUGUUCAUUUCAGAUUACUGGAAUUAACUCCCCCUGUUUUCAUAUGUGUUAUAUGUGUACUGUAGCGCUUGUGUUAACUUUGUUCAUGUGAAAACAUAUAUGUUUGUGUUGUGAUAUAAUUUUGUCCCUAUCAUAUUAGCUUGUUUCUUUCCUUCUGUCAUUACUAGUUAUAUAUGUGUUUGUGUUUGUGUUGUGAGAGUUGUACUGUUACAUUGUGACUCUCAUUUAGAAUGUAUGAGUACUAGAUAUAUAUGUCAUAUAUAUUCUGUUCAUGUUUAAUAGUUAUAUGUGUUCUUGUCUAGCAGCUUUCCCUAAUAUUUGUGCUAGUGUUUUAGAUUCUCGGGUAUAAUGAAAAUACCAAAAAGAUAUUGAGUAAAAUCUGAAUUUCCCUUUGUUGUUUGUCGUUUUCUUUGCCAACGAUCUUCGGGAACAACCUGGUUAGUUUAGGUUUUAUUUUCUGCAAUCAUCUCUUAAAAUUGUGUUACCUAGCUUUAGUCGAGCACCGCCGCUGAUUUUCCUAGUCCUUGAGGAGAACACGACAUCCGUAGUUUUGGGCGUAAAAACCCCACUAUACUCACAACCGAUCAUUUUUGCGUCGUUGCCGGGGACUAGCGUCGAGUGACCGUGCUAGGCUAUAGACUAGGUUUUUCUUCUUUUCCUAGUUUGUGCUAUAUAUGUGAUAUAUCUCUAACUCCUAACCUUUGUUCUAGUUUAUUUCCUCUUUGUUUUCUUUUCCUUUUUGCAGGCUAGAACCAUCUUCUCGGUUAUGGCCUACUAUUCAGAUCACCAUGGAUAUGCGAGCAACACUACAAAUAGCACGGAAAGUAUUCAAGAACUGAUAAGUAAGAUUUCCCAUCGAUUAGAUGAUUUAGCUUGGCAGCGAGAAGUAGUUUUUGAGGAUAGGCCUAGCUCUUAUGAUCCUUAUUCUAGAGGCCAUCCUUAUGUUGCUCCUACCUGCCAUAUUUGUGGAUUUCAGGGCCAUUCGCCCCCUGAAUGUCAGUGUGGUUACUCUUGCCCUCUAGAUUGUUUUGGCAUGAGCUUUGCUCAAGAGCAUAGCUCAUACCAAAACAAUUACUCACAUGGGUGGCCUGAAAACCCGAAUAUGUCAUAUAGGAGCAACAACCCUGAGAUCUCAUCAUUUCCCUCUAGUUAUCCAAUGCAAGGAUUUAGGAAUGAAGAGGAGAGCAACAAUUAUGCUCCACAACAAUUUUAUUCUGCUCCUAUUCAUAUACCUCAGCACCAGGAGAUGUUGCCAAUGGAGUUAAAUGGUCCUCCAUUUGGUCAACCAACACCUUCUACACAAGUGCCCACACAAGAUGACUUUGCUGAUAUAGACAAGCUCACAUUGCUUAGUCUCGAGUUCACUUGGAGUGCUGAAGAUGAUCCAAUUAGGCUGGUGAUACUAGAUGAAAUGAAGAAGAUCAAGAGUGGGAAUGAGCUAGUGGAAGAAGUAAGGAAGAUUGAGAAGAACAUCAAUGCUGGCAGCACUAUUUCUUCGCAGCUAGAGCUGAGUAUUUCUGGGAUAUCCCUUGAUACAUGUGAGGUCCCAACACCUUCACAUUCAGCUGAGCAAUAUAGCGAGAGUCCAGAGGAAGAGAUACUUCAGAUCCAAGAAGAAAUUCUCAAAGCCAAGGCACAAGAUGAUCCAGAGCUCGAAUACCCAAAUGAACAAGUUGAAGAUCCAAUGUCUACUACUUCCGAAGAAGUAAAAGAAGCUGUUGUAGAUGAAGAUGAAGAACCUGAGAUUCAUUUGCCUAUUGUCAUACAAGAGAGUGAUGUGUCAGGUUCAUUCAAUCCUCUUAAUGACAUGUCCCAUUAUGUUUUGUUUGAUUCUACCUUGCUUUACAUGAUGCCAUCACUUAAGGUAGAUUUGAGGAAGUGUUUGCUUGGAUAUGAUGAUACUUAUACCGUUGAUGGCAUUGCUCAUACUAAUGAUGAUCACACUUAUUUUCCUCAUGCCAAACCUAUGCUUAAUGAUAAAUAUCAUCUGAAUGCUAGUAUUGAGCUUGUUGAUUCCUAUCAUACUCGUCAUGUUCUAUAUUCCUAUGUUUAUAUAAUUGGAUACUCGAUUGGCGACUUAGAGGGCAUCGACCCUAUCACUCGUAGUUGUUGUUUGUGUGAGUCCUAUUUCAGGUUUUUGCUUGUGCACGAAUCAAUAUAUGUUGACCAGGUUCGAGGUGACAUCCCUUGGGAUCCCGGUGGAGUCAGAGCAUGGCGAUGAGGAGAAGCAAAUGGGCACACAUAUGGAAGAGAGGAGCUGGAGCAUGCACGAGGAAGCAAAAGGAGAGGAGUCGCAAUGCAAGAGGAUGUGAGAUGAUCGAGUGAGUGCUACAUGAUCAAAACCCGAAAAGUGCGCAAAGCCACUAUAAUCGUCAAGAUUUCUACUAUGUGGCUAACGAGAAGAGAGAAGGGCAUGAAAGAAAUGCGUCAAGGACCUGAGCGUGAAGGAAAGAAGUAAUCUAGGGGAGCAAACUAAAAGAAGAGGAGGAUCUUCUUGGGCAGAAAUGAAGAUAAGAGGAGGGCCAAUGUGCAAAUGUGGCAGCUCAGAGUGGGGAACAAAAUCCCUAGCCGCAAAACUUGAUCCCUUUGGGCCUGGCAACACCUCUUCUUCCCCCAUCUCCUCCUCCACCACCGGCCGCCGCCACGGCCAGCCGGUGUGGUGGUGCACCUCCGCCACCCAUCCAUCUAUCCAUCACCGACGCCCCUCACCAGCAGCGCCCAUCUCGCGUGCCGUACCUGCAUGCCUCCACCUGUUGCUGAUUCUCCUUGCUGCUCCCUACGCCUACCUCGCUGUUGUUCUUCUUCCCGACGUCCUCCCUGCCGCACUUCUGCUUCUCCUCUGCUUCCCCUCUCCUCACGUCCCUGCUGCUGCACUUCUUCUCUCCCAAUGCUACUGCUGCUACUGCGCUCUGCUGCUUCCUCUUGCUAACCUGCUGCUACUUCUUCUCUUUACCCUACUGCUGCUCUACUUCUCUCAUCACAACUGCUGCUCCUCCUCUGUAACCCCUGCUGCCUCUAUCUCUUCUCUGAACCUCCUUUGUUGCUGCCUCUUCUCUCCUCUGCUAUUGGCUUGAGAUUUUUGUAAGCUGAGAUGUGUUAAACUUUGUAAGGUUCAGAUUUUAAGUAGUGCUUUGAACUUGUUCAGUUUCAGACUUGUGCUUGAUUAAUAGUACUUAUUUUGUUCAUCUCAGAGUACUAGAAUUAACUCCCCCUAUUUGCAUAUGUGUGAUAUGUGUCCUGUAGCGCUUGUGUUAACUUUGUUCAUGUGAAAACAUAUAUGUUUGUGUUGUGAUAUAAUUU